CGAAUGCUGACAUAAGUAACGAUAAAGCGGGUGAAAAGCCCGCUCGCCGGAAGACCAAGGGUUCCUGUCCAACGUUAAUCGGGGCAGGGUGAGUCGACCCCUAAGGCGAGGCCGAAAGGCGUAGUCGAUGGGAAACAGGUUAAUAUUCCUGUACUUGGUGUUACUGCGAAGGGGGGACGGAGAAGGCUAUGUUGGCCGGGCGACGGUUGUCCCGGUUUAAGCGUGUAGGCUGGUUUUCCAGGCAAAUCCGGAAAAUCAAGGCUGAGGCGUGAUGACGAGGCACUACGGUGCUGAAGCAACAAAUGCCCUGCUUCCAGGAAAAGCCUCUAAGCAUCAGGUAACAUCAAAUCGUACCCCAAACCGACACAGGUGGUCAGGUAGAGAAUACCAAGGCGCUUGAGAGAACUCGGGUGAAGGAACUAGGCAAAAUGGUGCCGUAACUUCGGGAGAAGGCACGCUGAUAUGUAGGUGAAGUCCCUCGCGGAUGGAGCUGAAAUCAGUCGAAGAUACCAGCUGGCUGCAACUGUUUAUUAAAAACACAGCACUGUGCAAACACGAAAGUGGACGUAUACGGUGUGACGCCUGCCCGGUGCCGGAAGGUUAAUUGAUGGGGUUAGCGCAAGCGAAGCUCUUGAUCGAAGCCCCGGUAAACGGCGGCCGUAACUAUAACGGUCCUAAGGUAGCGAAAUUCCUUGUCGGGUAAGUUCCGACCUGCACGAAUGGCGUAAUGAUGGCCAGGCUGUCUCCACCCGAGACUCAGUGAAAUUGAACUCGCUGUGAAGAUGCAGUGUACCCGCGGCAAGACGGAAAGACCCCGUGAACCUUUACUAUAGCUUGACACUGAACAUUGAGCCUUGAUGUGUAGGAUAGGUGGGAGGCUUUGAAGUGUGGACGCCAGUCUGCAUGGAGCCGACCUUGAAAUACCACCCUUUAAUGUUUGAUGUUCUAACGUUGACCCGUAAUCCGGGUUGCGGACAGUGUCUGGUGGGUAGUUUGACUGGGGCGGUCUCCUCCUAAAGAGUAACGGAGGAGCACGAAGGUUGGCUAAUCCUGGUCGGACAUCAGGAGGUUAGUGCAAUGGCAUAAGCCAGCUUGACUGCGAGCGUGACGGCGCGAGCAGGUGCGAAAGCAGGUCAUAGUGAUCCGGUGGUUCUGAAUGGAAGGGCCAUCGCUCAACGGAUAAAAGGUACUCCGGGGAUAACAGGCUGAUACCGCCCAAGAGUUCAUAUCGACGGCGGUGUUUGGCACCUCGAUGUCGGCUCAUCACAUCCUGGGGCUGAAGUAGGUCCCAAGGGUAUGGCUGUUCGCCAUUUAAAGUGGUACGCGAGCUGGGUUUAGAACGUCGUGAGACAGUUCGGUCCCUAUCUGCCGUGGGCGCUGGAGAACUGAGGGGGGCUGCUCCUAGUACGAGAGGACCGGAGUGGACGCAUCACUGGUGUUCGGGUUGUCAUGCCAAUGGCACUGCCCGGUAGCUAAAUGCGGAAGAGAUAAGUGCUGAAAGCAUCUAAGCACGAAACUUGCCCCGAGAUGAGUUCUCCCUGACUCCUUGAGAGUCCUGAAGGAACGUUGAAGACGACGACGUUGAUAGGCCGGGUGUGUAAGCGCAGCGAUGCGUUGAGCUAACCGGUACUAAUGAACCGUGAG
rnacentral:rRNA from 1 species